CAGCAAGGGCAGGGGUUGGAGAGAGAUCCUGGAGGAGCAGGAACUAAAGAAUAGAGCACAAGGUUUGCAUCAGGGAGGCUUGGUUCCAGGUCUGCUUAUUGCCAGUGCCUCAGCGUCUCCACCUAUAAAAGGGGGUGCAGGGAUACCCGUCUGCCCGCCUCCCCUACCCGCAGUGAGGAAUCUGAGGUGAUGCCUGCGGUGCUGGGCAGCCAGCUGGAAAGCAGGGGCUGAGGUAGGUAGGCAGCUGGAGAGGCCUUGCUGGGGCCAACACUUUGCAAAGUGCUUGAUUGCUCAGGGAGGGGGCAGAAGAUGCCUUUGCCUCCUGUCCUCCCAGAUCAGCACCUGGACUGCCUGCCUUGGGACAGCGUGGCUCCUGGCCCUUGAGGUCUCACUUCUGGGGUCAUAUCAGGGAGGCCAACACUGAGGCCCUGGCCUUCAUGGAGGCACCUCCUCCCCCCGCCCAACCACUUUGCAGUUGUCCACUUCAUCCUCAGGGUGUGGGCUCUUUGUCCACGGACCAGGGGUGAGGGGCCCAGGCAGCAGCUCUGGCACCACUGAUCUGAGCAAUCUUAGCAAGCUACUUGUCUUUUUUGGGCCUCAGUUUCCUCUUCAGUGAACUUGUGGGGUUAGAUUAGUUCCCUGGUUUUUGAAUAUUUGCUUUCAUAGGGGGACCUCUUCUCCAGUCAAAGUUCUAAUAGACUAAGCGAAGAGAUAACUGUGGGUGCUUGAAACUUGGGGGGCUGGGGUGCCAUGUCCCUUCCCUCCUCCCCUUGCACACUCAGGGGCCCAGGGACUUGAGGGAACACAGUUUGAGAACCCCUCUUGAGGGUGCCUGCCAUCUCUACUACUCUAUUAGUUGUGGCUCAAGGGCAAGGAUGUCUUGUUUCCCUCCCUGGGCCGCCCAGUAAUUAGACUGCAAGCCUAGCACCUUCUGGCACCUUCUAUCAAGUGUAGGAAUCUUCAUAUUCUCUAAUUCCUGGUUCCUGCUGACACGGAGGUGUCUCAGCCCUUGUCACUGAGUUCAGUGGCACCAGAGGCCCCCUGUCCCUUCUAAGGGAAGUUAUAGGAGUAAAAUGUUCUAUGCCACAGGCAAGCUUUUGGGGGCACUUCUGGGCUCGUGAAGGACGUCCACAUACCUCUUCUCAUGUGCCCCCCACCCCCCAGCCUACAGGACAAGUCUGAGAUUCCCAUUGACAGAUGAGGGCAAGGGCUUAGGGAUCUUACUGAAGCUGACUCACGACCCCAUCGCUGGCAGGUGCAGAGUUGGGCACCUAGCCAGGAGCCCCGGUCCUCCCCCCAGGCUGUCUCCAGCUUCCCCCUGGGAUACCGGCACCUGCAGAUACCAGCAACAGAAAAAGGAGUGCUGAGAAGGGGUCCGAAUGGAGACGGAGGCCCACGGUUGUGCGAACAGAAGCAGCCUGAGCGCCGCCUGUGUGCCACCUGAAGCCUGGGGCUCGCAGCCUGGACGCCACCAACACACCACGGCUGGUGGUCAGCGGGUGGCAGAGCCUUCCAGUGGGGACCCUGAGGCUGCGGCCAGGGCAGUACCGAGGCAGCCAAGGGACAGAAGGUGCAAAGCCUUUGUCCGAGAGCUGCACAGACACCUCUGGAGUGAUGGCGUGAGAGGGCGGGCCGGCCGAGGCUGUGGGAACAUGGCAGGCCUCCCAGAGAAGGUGGGGUGGAGGAGCAGUGGGGAGGCUGCUGGCAGAAGGAACUGGGGCAGCGUGUCAGGGAAGGGUGGAUGGUGGAGGCUCCAGCGGGGUCAGAGCAUGAGGGCCAGCGAAGGACCCUGACUCCCUCCGUCUGACCUCCAUCUUCCCCAUCUGUAAAAAGAGACCAUGUGCUGCUCAGACAUCUGUCUCUUGGGCUCCCUGUGUCCAUCAGAGAAAUGGCAAGAAUCCAGUUAAGGAAAUGGGGUUGCUGACCAGAGUCCUUGAGGCCCUGAGCCUGACUGCUUGCACCAACUCCGAUCAGCACCAACUCCACUGGGGAACUGUACCUUGCCCGUCCCCAAAAGGGUAAGCCCAGCCAGAGUUGGAUGGGCAUUCCUGCCCUCCUUGGACCAAACUAUGGAAGGAGAAGAGGGGGGUAAGGGUGGACAUGGUGUGGCAGUCAGGCCCCCACUCCCCUCCCAAACAAAGCCCCAACUCUUGGGUUCUAGGGGGCGCUGCUUGGUGAUGGGGGUUCUAGAGAGUAGAGUGCCUUCUCAAACCCUUUGUUGUGUCUGGGCCCUGGAUCUUUAUUUCCAACCCAAACAGCUGUGGGCUAUCUAAGUGACAGGAGGCCUAGGUCUUGUUCCUGGGGAAACAUCAACAUCCCUCCAUGAGAGGCCGGGGAUGGGGGGGGGGUGACAGUGAGGGCACAGCCUAGGCCUCCAACUUGCCAGUCCCCUGCCCCCCACUCUCACCACGCCUUCCCACAUGCUAGCCUUACAGGGUUGGCUCAUUCCUAUGGGCCUCCUGGAGGGGAGGGCCUACCUAGCCCCCUGAAAGGUUUAGGAAUGCUUGUUGAAUGCAUAACUGUGCGGACAGGGGACAACCACAGUGUGAGAAGCACGAGGUCUCUGGUUUGUUCCUUCAUUCCCAGCGAAGCGAUGACAAUUAUGGUCAGGGGCCUGGCCUAUGUAUUGUUCCUAGAUUGUGGUUGCUUCCAUGCCUUGCCAGCUCCAGGACUUCGCUCAUACUGUCCCCUCUGGCCAGAGAGCCCACUUGGCCCCCAGCCCGGCAGUGCUCUGUCCUCCUACCUCCUUCACGGGGCCAGUUCCUUCGCCCAGACUCCCCUGCCCCUGCCGCAGCUGCUCAUCCCUGCUAUGCCCCAGCUCUGUGUCUAUCAGGUACUCUGACUGCUGGGCCCAUCCCCUUGCCUGAUUGCCACCUUUGUGGUUUCCGUGCCUAGAAUGGGACUUGAGCUCACGCUGUUAAGUCUUUGUCAUCUAAGGACAUGUGACGACACUUAGAGCCUCCCAUAUACCAGACACUGUUUUAAGUGCUGCACGUGUGAUGGCCCUUUUACUCCUCACAAUAACCCAAUGAAGUAGGUGAUUUUAUGACUCUUGUUUUGAAGAUGAUGAAACUGAGGCAGAGGGAGGGUAAGUGGCGUGUCCAGGGCCACCCAGGUAAUAAAUAGUAAAGGGAUUCAGUCCAGGCAGCUGGGCUGUGGGGUCCACGCUGAUACCCAACGAUCUAUUAGGUUGUCUCCUGGGGGUGAUGCCAACUCAGGAAAGUCGCUGUCGCAGCGGCGGGUGUGUGUGUGGGGUCACAUUUGUAGUUGCUGGGAGAGAGUGCACCUGCUCCUGUGGGAAACUCAGCCCGAGCCAGCUCCGGCCCCUCAGAUUAAGUUCCAUUUUUCCUGGUGUGGCUUCCUCCCUUUUCCAACCCUUCUGGACAGGUCUCCCACCACUCAGCUUGGCAUGAGGGGGUCAACGUUGAGAAUUAUGAAUUCAAGUUCAGCAAAUGUUUGCAGAAUGACUGCUUUGCCACACAGACGCCAAGGACAUGCAAAGUUUCAUGGGGACCCUUGGGCAUCUGCUCCCCUC